rnacentral:rRNA from 1 species
AUUGAACGCUGGCGGCAGGCCUAACACAUGCAAGUCGAGCGAGCGGCGGACGGGUGAGAAAUGUAUGGGAAACUGCGCGCUGGAGGGGGAUAACUACAGGAAACGGUAGCUAAUACCGCAUACAAUCAGAUGUGCCCCGAUGGGAUUAGCUAGUAGGUGGGGUAACGGCUCACCUAGGCGACGAUCCCUAGAUGGUCUGAGAGGAUGACCAGCCACACUGGGACUGAGACACGGCCCAGACUCCUACGGGAGGCAGCAGUGGGGAAUUUUGGACAAUGGGGGAAACCCUGAUCCAGCCAUCCCGCGUGUGCGAUGAAGGCCUUCGGGUUGUAAAGCACUUUUGGCAGGAAAGCGGUACCUGCAGAAUAAGCACCGGCUAACUACGUGCCAGCCGCCGCGGUAAUAC